AGUUGCCAGUGUUGUUUGUCGUAUGUGAGUCUAUGGUGGAUGUCUUCUGCUCUAAUGUUUUGACUUCUAGUUUUUGGUUUAAAGUAAGUUUUGUUUUUAGCUUUUUUGUUAAAAUAGAUCUUAUUUUUAGUUUCUGCAAUUGGUUCCACCUCCUCUUUGUAUUGUUCAUCAAUCUGCUUAUGACAGAACUACUUGUGGUUUACCUUGAUUUUAAUCAGGAGAGACAAGGAGACAGGGUUAUCGUUGUAGAUCCAUCCCCCCCCAUGGAGUCCAGACACUGGUGUCGGAGGCGUGAGCUGAUGAUGUCGUCUGAGUGUAUGCGAUGAAGGAGCUGAUUGAACUGUGAAGACGUGGGGUUUGAUGAGAAGAAGGUUGAUGAUGUCUUCUGAGACUUGUAGGAUAAAGAGGCUGACCAAACUGCAACUCCGGACGAUGGCUGAUUCUGUGAUCUGAGGCUGAUGGGACGAAGAAGCUGCAAAGGCUGGUUGGUGAUGGGGAGGUGGAGGGUCACACUUAACGGAUGGCUUGAAUGAACUAUAGUGGAGGAGAAGGCCAUAUUUAAAAUAAGACAGCAGCAAUAUGAUAGGCUUACGAUGAUGGAGUGGAGCAGUGCUAUUGGAUAGAUGUGACCAGGUGAUGUGAACAGCUGAUAAUGACAAGAAAAUGGAGCAUGCGUGGAGGAGAGAUGUCACACAGUAUGAGAAUAAACUAUAAAAUGAGCAUGCA